CAGCCGCCGCGGUAAUACGGAGGGGGCUAGCGUUGUUCGGAAUUACUGGGCGUAAAGCGUACGUAGGCGGCUUUGUAAGUUAGAGGUGAAAGCCUGGAGCUCAACUCCAGAAUUGCCUUUAAGACUGCAUCGCUUGAACGUCGGAGAGGUGAGUGGAAUUCCGAGUGUAGAGGUGAAAUUCGUAGAUAUUCGGAAGAACACCAGUGGCGAAGGCGGCUCACUGGACGACUGUUGACGCUGAGGUACGAAAGCGUGGGGAGCAAACAGGAUUAGAUACCCCAGUAGUCCCUGUCUCUUAUAC
rnacentral:rRNA from 1 species